AUGAUCAUUGAUCAUAAAUACCCGACUGGCAAACCUAAUAUCUUUGCAACAGGCUUGUCCCCAAAAACCUCCAGGUUCUGGAAAGGGGUGAAAUCCGCCUUCCAAGCUUUGAAAUUUGGUUAUAGAUGGAAAGUUGGCCGUGGGUGUAGAGUUAGGUUCUGGGAGGACACCUGGUUUGGGACCUCCCCUCUGGCGGUCCAGUUCUGGCCUGUCUACUCGAUUCGCAAUGAGCAAACUAAAAGCAUCAGAGAGGUUUGGGAUGGUCGCCAGCUCAAACUGUCAUUUAGAAGAAAUUUUGAUAGCAAGCUCGUGGAACAAUGGUGCCAACUUGUGGAGAUUGCAGGGAGCAUUUCGCUUUCUGAUGAGAUUGACUCUCUGAUCUGGUAG
rnacentral:rRNA from 1 species